rnacentral:rRNA from 1 species
AAUGAACGCUGGCGGCAGGCCUAACACAUGCAAGUCGAACGGGUCCUUCGGGACUAGUGGCGGACGGGUGAGUAACGCGUGGGAACGUGCCCCUUGGUACGGAAUAGCCCCGGGAAACUGGGAGUAAUACCGUAUGUGGUCGAGAGACGAAAGAUUUAUCGCUAAGGGAUCGGCCCGCGUUGGAUUAGGUAGUUGGUGGGGUAAUGGCCUACCAAGCCGACGAUCCAUAGCUGGUUUGAGAGGAUGAUCAGCCACACUGGGACUGAGACACGGCCCAGACUCCUACGGGAGGCAGCAGUGGGGAAUCUUAGACAAUGGGGGAAACCCUGAUCUAGCCAUGCCGCGUGAUCGAUGAAGGCCUUAGGGUUGUAAAGAUCUUUCAGGUGGGAAGAUAAUGACUGUACCACCAGAAGAAGCCCCGGCUAACUCCGUG